AGUGAACGCUGGCGGUAGGCCUAACACAUGCAAGUCGAACGGCAGCACAGUAAGAGCUUGCUCUUACGGGUGGCGAGUGGCGGACGGGUGAGGAAUACAUCGGAAUCUACUUUUUCGUGGGGGAUAACGUAGGGAAACUUACGCUAAUACCGCAUACGACCUACGGGUGAAAGCAGGGGAUCUUCGGACCUUGCGCGAUUGAAUGAGCCGAUGUCGGAUUAGCUAGUUGGCGGGGUAAAGGCCCACCAAGGCGGCGAUCCGUAGCUGGUCUGAGAGGAUGAUCAGCCACACUGGAGCUGAGACACGGUCCAGACGCCUGCGGGAGGCAGCAGUGGGGAAUAUGGGACAAUGGGCGCAAGCCUGAUCCAGCCAUACCGCGUGGGUGAAGAAGGCCUUCGGGUUGUAAAGCCCUUUUGUUGGGAAAGAAAAGCAGCAGGUUAAUACCCCGCUGUUCUGACGGUACCCAAAGAAUAAGCACCGGCUAACUUCGUG
rnacentral:rRNA from 1 species